rnacentral:tRNA from 1 species
AUUAAGUUAGUUUAAAAACAAAACAUUAGUUUGUGGAACUAAAAAUAAGAUAUAUUCUUACUUAAUC